rnacentral:rRNA from 1 species
GAUGAACGCUGGCGGCGUGCUUAAUACAUGCAAGUCGAGCGGAAAGGCGCUGCGUUUGUUGGUCUCUCGAGUGGCGAAGGGGGGAGUAACACGCGAGUAACCCGCCCUUAACUUUGGGAUAACUUCAGGGGACUGCGGAUAAUACCGGAUAGGAGAUCCUGCUCCAUGGGGGGGGUUGGAAAGUGUCGGCGGUUGGGGCUGGACUGGCGGCUUACCCGCUAGUUUGUGGGGUAGUUGAUUACCAAGGCUUUGACGGGUAGCCGGCCUGGGAGCGUGACCGGCCACAUUGGGACUGAGAUACGCCGCAGACUCCUACGGGCGGCAGCAGUGGAGAAUAUUGCACAAUGGGCGCGCGCCUGAUGCAGAGGCCCCGCGUUCGGGAUGACGGCCUACGGGUUAAGAACCGCUUUCGCCUGUAACGAAGCGUGAUUGACGGUAAUGAGUAAAGAAGCACCGGCUAACUACGUG